GCACCUAGUGGGCGGGGCUGGCUGAUGUCAACCAAUCACAACAGGUGUUCCGCCAUGUUUGUUUUGGAUGCACAGGUGGAUGUGAAAAGCUCUUAAUGAGAACAUUAUCCCUAAUUGGUCAGUUUUGGACUGGAUUUUAUUCAGAAUGUGUUCAAGACAGAAAUGAUGGACUGAACUCAACUUUAACUGAACGAGCAGACGGGCUAAAUCACCGCGGAGUUCUCAGUUGGACGUGGUUAAAGCGACAGCUGCCAAACAGCAAGUGAUUUAAAAAACAACAGACAAUAACAAUGGAAAAUGACGGGUUUGACAGCCGUAACUCCAUCACAGCCGACACACAGCACAGCAGGGGUUUCAUCGUCACGUCGACUUGAGCAGUAUGAACAUGAAGAUAACAUCUAAAGAAAACAAAAUGGAGGCCAGAUGAUGAUGCAGCAGAAGGGCCUCGUCAAGGGGGAGAGAACGGGGAAGGGAGGGAGGAAAUAUCCCAGGUCUGCUGCAAGGAGUUCAACAAUAAUUAAAAAGACUCAUGGUGAGAGAGAGAGAGAGAGAGAUGGGAGUCAUUCCAAAAAUGUGAGAGAGCUGCUUGCUUUGUGGUUACACCAGGAGACUGGCUAAAGCUAACACCAGGAACUGUGAACUCUUCCUUGAUCUGCAUCAGUGUGUUUGUGUCACCAUCACAGCUGUUCCCUGACUGUACAUCCAUUCAUUUAAUAAAACCUUAUCCCUAACAUUAACUGUAAACA